UGGGGAAUAUUGGACAAUGGGCGCAAGCCUGAUCCAGCCAUGCCGCGUGUGUGAAGAAGGCCUUUUGGUUGUAAAGCACUUUAAGCGAGGAGGAGGCUACUUGGAUUAAUACUCUAGGAUAGUGGACGUUACUCGCAGAAUAAGCACCGGCUAACUCUGUGCCAGCAGCCGCGGUAAUACAGAGGGUGCGAGCGUUAAUCGGAUUUACUGGGCGUAAAGCGUGCGUAGGCGGCUUUUUAAGUCGGAUGUGAAAUCCCUGAGCUUAACUUAGGAAUUGCAUUCGAUACUGGGAAGCUAGAGUAUGGGAGAGGAUGGUAGAAUUACAGGUGUAGCGGUGAAAUGCGUAGAGAUCUGGAGGAAUACCGAUGGCGAAGGCAGCCAUCUGGCCUAAUACUGACGCUGAGGUACGACAGCAUGGGGAGCAAACAGG
rnacentral:rRNA from 1 species